AAUACACUGUAUACAUUUUUAUUCGCAUUAUUUUAUAGUUUGCUUGAAAAUAUUUUUGCCUGAAAUCAUGUAUCUUUCCAUAACCUGGCUAAAGACAGUAACUCUGUUGAAUUGAAUGCAACUGAAUUUUUCCUUUUUGUCAGGAACUCAUAUCCUCUCCACCUGGAAGCAAAAACUCUCAGAGGGACAGCCAGUCAGAGAGCUCCCAAGAGAAACCUGGUCAGGUUAUUUUCGCAUUAGCUACACUGAUAAGAAUCAGCCCAGAAUAAGAAUAAUCUUUUUCUCUGUAUUCAGACACUCUGAAUGAUCCCAACUCAGAAUCUCAGCAGGAGAGUCAAGUUCUCAACAUUUGCCCUCCUCUCAACAAAAAGUAUGUGCCAACGUAAAGCCGUUGCAUUGGUGAUCAUGUUUUUACAGUGCUGUUUUUUUUUUUUCAGGUGUGCACCAGAGGACAUGGAAUCUACAGCCGAUUCCACAACACACUGUGUCCAGGCCGAAGGUGGAACUUCUCAGUUUAACUUUCUAGAGCUAUCACAGAGUCAAGACUUGGGAGGGGAAGUGACAAAUUGCCAGGACCAAGAAGACAAUAUCCCUCCUCCAGAUAGUGAAAAACAUGCCAAAUUAGGUAAUUAUAAAUGCUCCUCGCAUGCUUUUGUCAUUCUCAUUAUGGGUCAGGUGAAUUCAGACGCUUUAGGAGGCACAUCCUUAAAAGCCAAACCUGAGAUUCCAAGUUAAUGGCUCAGUGAAGAUGCUCCGUAUUUUUUGCUAUCACUUUCAAAGGUUUGUAGAUUGUAUUCUGUGCUUUAACAUUUAAUAUAUCAUCUAAAAGACCACCUGAAAGUAACAAUGAUCUUUAUAUAAGAGAAGCUAAAAUGGUAAAGAAUUUCAGCUGUGGGGAUUAUUAGGUUGGCUAUUGUUUAAGUGUUUUUUCCUCACCUGCAGGUCAGAACUCUGACUCCAGGACUUCAGGAAGUCAGAACAACAAAGCAGCUAGGUAUGUCAGCAUGAGCUGUUCCUAUAGAGGAGGUGAAAUGAAGAAGGUGGCAGCGUCCAGGAUCAUCUCCUGCUUGUCUGGCAACAGUCUGUUUUUCUCCUCCAGGGCAGAGGUGAGCUCCAGCAGCUCCUUGGACUCUCCAGUUCAGUCUGCUCAGCAGGUGAGCGUCCAGGUUUUGCUACACUCUCAGUGCCUCCAGACGUCUGAGCAGGACCAGCGGGACUGUGAGAUCCUGUCUUCUCAACAGGACCUGUUUGAAACUGACAAAACAGGUGAAUGCAUGCAAACAUACUCAUGCCGGGCUAUUUUUUUCACUCUACACUGCAUCACUUUCUUUUUUCGCUGCCCCUUCUAUUAUCUGUUGUUAGCGAUGAUCGUAACUCAGUCUGACCGUUGCUACACCCAGCAGCUGAGCUCCACAUGAAAUAUGCCAAAGUGAGACUACUUCAGGACGACUCUUGUUUCCAUGGUUACCUACCAAUAAUAGCUAAUUUAGUGCUCCUUUCACUCUAAAAAUAGAAACACAACAACAGUUAAUUCAAUGUUGUGCCCCUCAAAAUGGAUCCGUUUUGGUUUGGUGGUGUUUUCUGUGUGCACUUCUCACACUCUUGUCUUUCAGGCGCUGCAGUAGACAGCACCGUUUCUGAGCCUGAGCAGGAGGGUCAGCCUACUCUGACUCCGGGCCAAAGCCUGCGACUGCUGCAUCUGUCAGGACAGGGAACAUUGGUGCAGGAAAGUCUGUCCCAGUGAGUUUCAGCACUUUCUGGAGCUGGUUCUGUUGCACAUGUGUGUAGAGGACAUCACCAAUAAUCCAUAUUUUCCUUGUUUUUGUUUUGAGGAGCUCUAUUGAGUUUGUUGCGCCAAGCCAAAACAGUUUCACCAACACCCCAUUCAUUGUUCCCAGCUCACCUACUGGACAAGAGAACGAAAACAGUGAGUUUCUUGAACUUUUUCAGUUUACCGCUGAGCAGCUGAUGAAGUUCAUGUGCUUUGACAGGCAUUGAUGAACCAAUGGAUACCUCGCUGCCCCCAGAAGAGAAAGUGAGAGAAAAGGAAGAACCAAUGGACACAGAGACUGUCUCCAAGCCCCAACCGUCCACCUCCACUCCUGUAUUCCAGAAUUCCCCUGGUUUCACAUUGGAGAAAACCCCCUCUGUGCCCUCCCAGCCUGAGUUUUCUCAGGUAUGUACCUUUUUUCAAUUUUUAAUUUUAACUAUUUAAGUAAGAUGGAGCUCACAUCUUGAGUUAUAACUGAUAACCGUGAUAGCAUUAAUUAAUUAAUAAUCUUAUAAUGUAUAUAUUUUAAACAGGUAAUCAUUCAAUGAAUUUGCUCAUACUCGUCACUCAUGACUAUAUCUGUUGGCUUAUUUGCAGCAUUUUCUUUGUACUCAUUUUUAAUCUGUAUUAUUAAUAAAUUGUAUAAAGGUAAGAUCAGCUCUAUCGCCCCCUACUGACCGAUACUUGAACAGAUGGGAUAGAAAACAUUUCUUCUAGUAAAACUACAUAAAGCUGCAUCAAAGAGGGGUUUAAGUGUUGAUGCAUAGCUGCUAUACAGUUAUAAAUAGCAAGGUUUCAAUGUUCUAUAUAAAUACAGUGUGCUGUUAUUCACCUUAAAUAUCUUUCAAACGUUCUUCUUUAUCAUGAAAGUAGAUGGAGCUCAAUCUAUCACAGCCCAUAGUU
ensembl:lncRNA